GACAGAGGUCCCGAGCGUUAGGCGGAAUCACUGGGCUUAAAGCGUGUGUAGGCGGCGGCCUAAGUACCUUGUGAAAUCCCACGGCUCACCCGUGGAACUGCUCGGUAUACUGGGUCGCUUGAGCCACUUAGGGGCUACCGGAACAAAUGGUGGAGCGGUGAAAUGCGUAGAUAUCAUUUGGAACGCCAAUGGUGAAAACAGGUAACUGGGAGUGUGCUGACGCUGAGACACGAAAGCCAGGGGAGCAAACGGG
rnacentral:rRNA from 1 species